rnacentral:rRNA from 1 species
CAGCCGCCGCGGUAAUACGUAGGUGGCAAGCGUUGUCCGGAAUUAUUGGGCGUAAAGCGCGCGCAGGCGGUUCCUUAAGUCUGAUUUGAAAUCUCGCGGCUCAACCGCGAGCGGCCAUUGGAAACUGGGGAACUUGAGUGCAGGAGAGGGGAGCGGAAUUCCACGUGUAGCGGUGAAAUGCGUAGAGAUGUGGAGGAACACCAGUGGCGAAGGCGGCUCUCUGGCCUGUAACUGACGCUGAGGCGCGAAAGCGUGGGGAGCGAACAGGAUUAGAUACCCUGGUAGUCCACGCCGUAAACGAUGAGUGCUAAGUGUUAGAGGGUAUCCACCCUUUAGUGCUGCAGCAAACGCAUUAAGCACUCCGCCUGGGGAGUACGGCCGCAAGGCUGAAACUUAAAGGAAUUGGCGGG